GGUAUUCCUGCUCAAGGGACCCUCCUGAGCAUUCUCUCAAGUCAGCCUAGAACAAUCACUGUGACCGCAUGCUUGGUUGAUCCUACCUUCUAGCAGACCAGCAGCUGCCCCCCAGGAAGAUCCACUCAGCUCUUUUUCAUCCUGCUGAGGGCUUUAGGAGACUAACCUUUAUGGACUGCACUAACCACCCACUGGCAGUUGUGCUGGGUCAGUGAGAAACACCCCAGGAAAUCAGAGGGCUGGGUGAGAGUGUACUCACUGAAGACAGGCUGUGGAGGAGGGGCCUGCCCAGGAGGAGAGUCCAGAUCCAAUGGGAAGAGAGGGG